rnacentral:rRNA from 1 species
UACGUAGGGGGCUAGCGUUGUCCGGAAUCAUUGGGCGUAAAGCGCGCGUAGGCGGCCCGGUAAGUCCGUUGUGAAAGUCAAAGGCUCAACCUUUGAAAGCCGAUGGAUACUGCCGGGCUGGAGUCCGGAAGAGGCGAGUGGAAUUCCUGGUGUAGCGGUGGAAUGCGUAGAGAUCCGGAGGAAGACCGGUGGCGAAGGCGGUCUGCUGGGCAGUUUCUGACACUGAGGCGCGACAGCGUGGGGAGCAACAGG